CCUACGGGAGGCAGCAGUGGGGAAUAUUGGACAAUGGGCGAAAGCCUGAUCCAGCCAUGCCGCGUGUGUGAAGAAGGCCUUCGGGUUGUAAAGCACUUUCAGUGGGGAAGAAAGCCUUGGGGCUAAUACCCUCGAGGAAGGACAUCACCCACAGAAGAAGCACCGGCUAACUCCGUGCCAGCAGCCGCGGUAAUACAGGAGGGUGCGAGCGUUAAUCGGAAUUACUGGGCGUAAAGCGCGCGUAGGCGGUCUGAUAAGCCGGUUGUGAAAGCCCCGGGCUCAACCUGGGAACGGCAUCCGGAACUGUCAGGCUAGAGUGCAGGAGAGGAAGGUAGAAUUCCCGGUGUAGCGGUGAAAUGCGUAGAGAUCGGGAGGAAUACCAGUGGCGAAGGCGGCCUUCUGGACUGACACUGACGCUGAGGUGCGAAAGCGUGGGUAGCAAACAGGAUUAGAUACCCGAGUAGUC
rnacentral:rRNA from 1 species